GAUGAAGAACGCAGCGAAAUGCGAUAAGUAGUGUGAAUUGCAGAAUUCAGUGAAUCAUCGAAUCUUUGAACGCACAUUGCGCCCCUUGGUAUUCCAUGGGGCAUGCCUGUUCGAGCGUCAUUUGUACCUUCAAGCUUUGCUUGGUGUUGGGUGUUUGUCCAUUCUCUUGCAGAGGGACUCGCCUUAAAGUAAUUGGCAGCCAGUGUUUUGGUUUUGAAGCGCAGCACAAGUCGCGAUUCAAAGCUAUACGCCCGCUUCCACAAGCCUUUUUCACUUUUGACCUCGGAUCAGGUAGGGAUACCCGCUGAACUUAAGCAUAUCAAUAAGCGGAGGA
rnacentral:misc_RNA from 1 species